rnacentral:rRNA from 1 species
AUUAAACGCUGGCGGCAGGCCUAACACAUGCAAGUCGAGCGAGCGGCGGACGGGUGAGUAAUGUCUGGGAAACUGCGUGAUGGAGGGGGAUAACUACUGGAAACGGUAGCUAAUACCGCAUACCAUCAGAUGUGCCCAGAUGGGAUUAGCUGGUAGGUGGGGUAACGGCUCACCUAGGCGACGAUCCCUAGCUGGUCUGAGAGGAUGACCAGCCACACUGGAACUGAGACACGGUCCAACGUCCUACGGGAGGCAGCAGGGGGGAAGAUUCCACAAUGGGGGCAAGCCUGAUUAAGCCACGCCGCGUGUGUGAAGAACGCCUUCGGGUUGUAAAGCACUUUUAGCGGGGAGGCGUUAACCGAAGAAGAAGCACCGGCUAACUCCGUGCCAGCCGCCGCGGUAAUAC